CCUACGGGUGGCAGCAGUGAGGAAUAUUGGUCAAUGGGCGAGAGCCUGAACCAGCCAAGUCGCGUGAGGGAAGACGGUCCUACGGAUUGUAAACCUCUUUUGUCAGGGAGCAAGGAGCGCCACGCGUGGUUCGGCGCGAGUACCUUAAGAAAAAGCAUCGGCUAACUCCGUGCCAGCAGCCGCGGUAAUACGGAGGAUGCGAGCGUUAUCCGGAUUUAUUGGGUUUAAAGGGUGCGUAGGCGGUCGGAUAAGUUAGAGGUGAAAUCCCGAGGCUCAACUUCGGAAUUGCCUCUGAUACUGUUCGGCUAGAGAGUAGUUGCGGUAGGCGGAAUGUAUGGUGUAGCGGUGAAAUGCUUAGAGAUCAUACAGAACACCGAUUGCGAAGGCAGCUUACCAAGCUACUUCUGACGUUGAGGCACGAAAGCGUGGGGAGCAAACAGGAUUAGAUACCCGGGUAGUC
rnacentral:rRNA from 1 species